GUUCAAAUGUCUUUGCUUUUUUAAAAAUCAAUUUUUAUUCAUUCUCUCCAGGUAAAGCCUAUUAAUUUGCCUGUCAUAUUUAUCUCAAAUAUUUUUCCUAGCUUGGUUGCUUGCUAUGAAUUCUGUUCAUUAUUCUUUUGGAGUUACAGAAAUUAUAAGAUGUUACAUAAUCAAGUUGGCAUUUUCUUUUACAGCUCUUUGAUUUAGCAGAAAAUAAAGGAGACCUAUUUUCUGUUCUUUAGUCUUUAUGUGCUGGCUACAAAAAAAAUUUUUUUUAAGAAAUGACUUUUUAAAAUAGAAUAAUAGUGAAUGUGGCAACCAUGGAGGCUCUGCUUGGACCUCACUUGAAGAAGGAGAUCACCUUUCAUCUGUGAGGAGUGCAGUGAGCUGACCCUCUCUAGUUGCAACACCCGAGGAUCUGCUACAAUGUUUGAAACCACCCUCUUCCCAGGCAGCUCCCAGCCAAUGACUGAUCACAGCAGAGGGACUUGACCUGGCCUUUGCUGGUCGAUUGCUCUAUGAGCCAUCUGUGUGCUGGACUGCAUUGUUAGAUGACGUGAAACUUCUCAGAGCUGCACUGCAACCUGAAGCUCUUUCUCCCAAUUUCCCUUCCUCCCGCCACUCUUCUUUCAUGGGUGCCAGACCAACACUGUGGUCUGAAGGUUUUCCCUGCCUAUUCCUGCUCCUUUUGCCCUUUUCACAAGUAUUACCUGCAACAAGUAAUACUUUUCACAAGUAUUACCUGCAACAAAUCUUUGGCAUCUUUAUCUUUGUUAUGACAUGUGCUUCCUAGAGAACAUAAAUGACAGUUCUUAUUUAAAAAAUGAAGCGAUUCAGAGAAAUACAACAGAGAAAAGAACAAAUCAAAAGUAUGAGGACCACAGAAGACUCGGAAGUGAAGAGCAAGUAUUGGUAGCAGCACAUCCUGUCAGAUGGAGGCCUGCUACCUGCUCUCAGCAACUUCUUCUCACCUGAUCCCCGUUUUUGUUUAGCUGGUCUUCUCCUUGUUGACAGAGCCUUUUUGCCACCAAAGGGACUAAAUGCUGAAUUUUAAUAUCAGCUUCCCUUGCAAUGAGAAUCUGGAUAUAUGAGAUAUAAAAGGAAAUGUGUUGAGUAUCUAGAAAAUAUUGUUUUUUUCUUUAAUAAGAGAGAGAGAAGCAGGAAUAGAGCUCACCCCCCUCACUUUCUUCCUGUCUUUGAACAUUAAUGUGUGAGAAUGUGAUGCCUGGAGUUGUGACAGUCAUCUUGCAACCAUGAGGGGAAAGUAGAUAGAAGCUCAUAAAAGUGACUUGAUGUCAUCAGAUCACUGCAUCUAUCAACUCUGGAAUCAUCUAAUAGAAUAAUAGAAUGUUACCACUUGCUCUGGAAUGUGUCUUGUGUCUGUUACAUGCAGCCAAAACCAUAUUACCUGAUACACUUUCUAAAUUUGCCUUUGCCUCUUUCUGCUCUUUGUCAUACAACCCAUUUCUAGUUGAUAGUCCCACUUUGAAUGUCUCAGUGGCUUAGUUGGAGAAGGAAAUGGCAACCUACUCCAG
rnacentral:lncRNA from 1 species